rnacentral:rRNA from 1 species
GACGAACGCUGGCGGCGUGCUUAACACAUGCAAGUCGAGCGGAAAGGCCCUUUCGGGGGUACUCGAGCGGCGAACGGGUGAGUAACACGUGAGUAAUCUGCCCCUGGCUUUGGGAUAGCCACCGGAAACGGUGAUUAAUACCGGAUACGACCACUUCUCGCAUGGGAUGGUGGUGGAAAGUUUUUCGGCCAGGGAUGUGCUCGCGGCCUAUCAGCUUGAUGGUGAGGUAAUGGCUCACCAUGGCUUCGACGGGUAGCCGGCCUGGGAGGGUGACCGGUCACACUGGGACUGAGACACUGCCCAGACUCCUACGGGAGGCAGCAGUGGGGAAUAUUGGACAAUGGGCGGAAGCCUGAUCCAGCAACGCCGCGUGAGGGAUGACGGCCUUCGGGUUGUAAACCUCUUUCAGCAGGGACGAAGCGCAAGUGACGGUACCUGCAGAAGAAGCACCGGCCAACUACGUGCCAGCAGCCGCCGUAA